CGGAGACAGGCUCGGCCCGAUCAACAUCAAUGGGUCUGCAACUGAGAGGAUGAGGUUCUGCUACUGUUGGAGUCUGUUAUGUACAUUCUGGCGCUGUGUUUUUGGGUCCAUUGGGCAAACUGGUGCUUUGCUGGCUCCAAGAAGGCACCAAGAGGCAUGGACACCAGGAAGCCUGGAGACGGGGUGCGAGCCCAUGAUCGACUCCAUCCCUCAAGUAACACAUCGAAGCUGCACCCUCUCUAACAUGCUGGUAGACAGAGUUUUAUUUGGGUUUUCUUUAGCGCUGGAAAUGGUUACAUCCCGACACGUGGGACAGAAGCAAGCUCGCAUUGUGUAUUCCAGGGACCAGCAAAUACCAGCCGGUUUAGCGAGCAGAGCGGCGGACACCCCUGCUGAAAUCCGGAGGAAAACACACAGAGGAUGCAGAGGGGGAUCACAAAGCUGAGGAAAGAGAACCGGGUCGAGACAACAGAGACUUUUGGAGAAGAGGAGUUCGGUGGGUAAUACUGUUCCGGCUGACCGGAAGUACUCUGAGAGCGGUAAGCGUAAAGGAAUUGGGUGCUUACUGUUCUGGCUAACAACAGAUGGUGCAAUCCGGGGUAUAUUACUAUCGAGGAACAUGUUUGUAGACUGGAUAUUGAACUUUUUACUGUUGGACUUCGGCCACAUUCCACCGUGAUACAACACUUGGCGGCACGAGAGGUCGUUCCUGUCUGUGGCCAUCAAACGUGCAGCUCCUCCCGUGGAGAGUUAGACACCCUGAGCCAAUAGACUGGUCCUGGACUUAUUUUCCAUCUGGCAUAGUUUAUAUUUUGUUGUUUCAUUGUUGGGGGUUUUUGUAUUGCUAUAUUUACGCUCUAUUCUUGGUUGGGUGCGACUGUAACAAAAACAAAUUUCCCUCGGGAUUAAUAAAGUAUAUAUAUCUAUCUAUCUAUAUCAUCAUUCGAGAAACAGGUUCCCCACUGGUAUGCCAUUUAAAAAAAAGUACCUAGUGGCUUCAUCAUAAUUUCCACAGCAACAGUCUUCAGCAUUGCAGCCUUAAUAUAUCCAGGCAAUAUGUCAAAAAUAAAAUACUGGAAUGGAUGCUUUACAAAUACCAU